UAUUUAAAAUACAUUUAACAUUUUCUAAAAUAUCCUUUUCUGAUUGCUUAAUUCUACCCUUCUGUCUACUGCUCUGACAUCACACCCUUUCAUAAGUCCUCCAGAUGAUGAUUCAGAAAAAUGAAAAAAUUUGAACAACUGGAAAAAAUGGUGGAUGAUCUGAACAAUUUUUUAAAGCAUUCAUUUAUGCUGGGGACAACACAGCCAAAUGAUUAGAAUUUACCUACCUGCAUUAUACCAUCGGACCUGACACCAUAGGCACUGGAUAAAAUGUUUUCUUCUCUGAAGUUAAUGGUUAAGUUGCUCUUGCCUUCAACAGAAUGCAUAAUUUCACAGAUCAUGUUUGCAAAAGAUCAAUUAACUGGAUUUUUCAUGUUUUCCUCUUCUUGUCUUAAUCAGCCUGCAGUAGCUGUAGCACUGCUAUUUCUGCAUCAAGAGAGUUUGGACUUGCUCCUGCUUGCACUGAGCCAAGUCUCUGAAGUGGCCCAGUGGGAACAAAACAAAUCCAUUGUCAAAUUCAAGCUAGGAAACUAAUGAUGAAUCAUUAUUAAGAGCUACAUACAGACAUAGCAGCAGGAAAAAAACAACUCCAUUUUCAGACUAAUUUAAAGAACAGUCGCUAUCAAGGCUACCCUAAUGAUUGACAAUUCACUUUAUCAGUUAAAAUUAAAGUCAAAAUCAUUAUACCUGACCAUGAUCAUUAAGUGACAGUGAUUGUCAGACUAAGACAAUGCCAUCUUAUCUGGAUAUGCCUCUAAAGUGAUUAGGGCCUCAUUGGACUCUAUAAUCCAGAUUUUAGGUCCCUGUACUGGCACUCAGCCAAACAUUUUAUUUUCAGGAAACCAGCCUGGCAAUCACUUGGCAAGCACUCAGUUUACAAUUUUCAGGUGUCAAGCCAUUCAUAUGAAGUACACAGAGAACACUUCAACUAUACAACAGCCUUUACUUAACAUUUCUGAAGACCAGUAUGCUCUAAACACCUUUGUAGAGGCUUUUAAUGGGAAAACUGCACAGAACACCAUUGUCAAUUGUCAUAGGAUGCAAGAUGUGGCUUGGGGCGUGUAUUCUAUUGCCAUCUGUUGGAGGUGGAGCAGUUAUCUUCUGUUAAUUGACCACCUGUUAAAGUGGGGCAGUUUUCUUUAUCUCUACCACAGCCAAUUCUCCUUCCAGGAGAUCUCUUCUGUUAAUGGGCCAUUGAGGGUCACUGCACGACUGAUAAAAUUACAUCAUCCCACUGGGAGAUGCUCUACCCAGGGGGAGGAGCCAAGUAUUCCUACCUGGAUAUAGUUAGAGAUGGAAAACCAGACAGCCUUUCCCACUGGAUUCCCAGAGGAGCAGCUUUCUUCUCCACUGGAUUCCCAGAGGAAAACCAGGCCCACCAUCGGAUCUACAGAGGAAACCUACACCCUUCUACAGGCUCACUGCUUCAACAGAACCACACCUGUCACUGCAGGAGGACUGCAGCCCCAUUUAAUGGCACUGCUAUGAACACACUGACCAACAGUGCCAGGUCGUAUUCUGACUCUGUCAGUGUUGAUUAGUAUUACUGCAUUUUCUUAUUUUAUUUUUUCCUAAUAAAGAACUUUUGUUCCUACUUCCAUAUUUUGCCUAAGAGCCCCUUAAUUUCAAAAUUACAAUAAUUCAGAGAGAGGGUUUACAUUUUUCAUUUCAAGGGGGGCUCUGCCUUCCUUAGCAGACACCUGUCUUUUCAAAUCAAGACAUCAAUGCACAGGCUAUCAGCAUCUCAUCACAACAUUUCAAAGAAAAUGUUUUCCAUAAAAGAUGGAGUCAAUGUUUACUUCACAAUUGUGUCUUGAAUUCUAGUGUUUCAUGGCAGGUGUUAACUUCAUGUUAUCCCUAUGACUGACUUUCAAAUUAGAAGCUGUAACUCUUUCACUCAUAUGUAAUUAAACAAGUGGUUUAUGGGA